UAUCAAUAAUUAGAGUGUGAAGUAAAUAAUCUUUCUUCUUCCACGCAUAACCAAAACCACCGGCGUUAACUAUUUCAACAGCGUACAAACUACGAAGGAAACUAAUCGGAAAUCCGCGAGAUUGUUCAACGUGUUGUCCGUUUAUCCGGUUCGGAUCGGGUCCCGAUAGGCACGGAUAAUCAACGUUCGGUUGGUUUUCGUCUGUUGUACCCUGUCGGAGGUUGUUGUUGAAUUUGUCGGAAACAUGACAGCUGUCAGGCAAAAGAAAAAAAACGAAACUCAACAAAAAAACAAGGAGAGUUUUGAUUGCUUGUUCGUAUCGUUUUUGCUUCACAUCGGCUAGUCAGUAGGAAAUUGUAUUCGCCAGCAAUAAAAACAAUUGAAAUUUAGUUUUAUCUCGAAUAUCGGUGAGCUGUAUCACAUGUGACUAGAAAAGUUGCAUGGUUGAGGCCAAUCAUUUUCCUUGUUUGUUAACGUGAGUGUGUCUUGAAAAAAUAGUGCAAGGGUUCAUGCCCUCUACAGCAUUUUCUCCUGCGUUCGUGUAUGUUGUAUGUGAGAAAAUUGGUUGAAAGUCUACAUUGUUAGGGGUAGCUAAUUAUUCUACUUUGGAAAGUGAACUCGAACUAAACUCUAAGAUCGAGCAACCAUCAACGCCAAGCUGGAACGGGAAAGGAAAGCACAAAUUAACAAAAGUAGUUCCUCUACCUUAGCGAGAGCUGAGAGUGGCACUGCGGAGGUGGUUGAGGCGUCGACGGCAACGGAUACGAGCGCAACGAACGUCGACAAGAAAAAGAUGAACGGUUUAAGCUUCAGUGAGCUCUGUUGUUUGUUUUGUUGCCCUCCUUGUCCUGGACGGAUUGCAUCGAAGUUGGCCUUUCUACCACCUGAAGCCAGCUACGAUCUGAAACCGGAAGCUGACAGUACGAACAGCAAGUUUACCCUGACGCUACACGAUAAGGCAGACUGGCAGUAUACCGACCGCGAGAAGGAAUGUUUCGAAGUGUUCUACGCCCGGUCCUCCCGAGGCAAUAGAAUCGCUUGUUUAUUCGUAAAAUGUAGCGCUAAUGCUCGGUUCACACUCCUUUUUUCCCACGGUAAUGCUGUCGAUCUCGGUCAGAUGACAACGUUUUUCAUCGGUUUAGGUCAACGGAUUAAUUGUAACAUUUUUAGCUACGAUUAUUCCGGGUACGGUCAAAGCUCUGGAAAACCCACCGAGAAGAAUCUCUAUGCGGACAUCGAUGCAGCAUGGCAUGCCUUACGAACGCGGUACGGUAUCAGCCCAGAGAAUAUCAUUCUGUACGGACAAAGUAUCGGCACAGUACCGACAGUGGAUUUGGCGAGUCGUUAUGAGGUCGGUGCAGUCAUUCUACAUUCGCCGCUAAUGUCAGGUAUGCGUGUAGCCUUUCCUGCCACAAAACGCACAUGGUUUUUCGACGCAUUUCCAAGUAUCGAUAAAGUUCCGAAGGUCGCAUCACCAGUACUGGUGAUACACGGUACCGAAGAUGAGGUGAUCGAUUUUUCUCAUGGCAUGACAAUCUACGAAAAGUGUCCCCGCGCUGUGGAACCGUUAUGGGUAGAAGGAGCCGGUCACAAUGAUGUGGAAAUGUAUAGCCAAUAUUUGGAGCGGCUGAAGCAAUUUGUGUCGGUUGAGCUGGUCAACUGACAAAAGGUGAACAAACGCUCCAGCGGCAACGGCAGUGGCAAGCGUACCAAAGGUGAUGGUGACGGUCGAAAGGAGGCAGGAAAUGAUGAGGAUGACAAGGAAGAGGACGAGGAUGAAGAUUUAAAUACAGAUGAUGAAAUAUUAAAUGCAUCAAUUACACUAAGCUCAAAUUCUACCAAUGAUGCAUCGGCAAUAGAAAAGCUUCUCUAGCAUCAGGAGCCUGGCGGAGGGAGUGG